rnacentral:rRNA from 1 species
UGGUGGAGUGAUUUGUCUGGUUAAUUCCGUUAACGAACGAGACCUCAGCCUGCUAAAUAGUCACGCCAAUCGUCUGACAGGCGAAGCGCGGCGGUGUGCCGUUGUGCCCCCUGGGCGCGCGGUCGCCUCGCGUGGAUCCAUGACUGAUUGACGGCUCGCCCCGCUCGUCGGGGUUGACUUCUUAGAGGGACUAUUGUGCGUUUAGCCAAUGGAAGUUUGAGGCAAUAACA